UGACUGAAGCAUCUGAGGGAGA
rnacentral:miRNA from 1 species